rnacentral:tRNA from 1 species
GCAGGGGUAACGAAGUGGCCAAACGUGAUGGACUCAAGAUCCAUUCCCUUAGUGGGUUCGAGCGUUCAAAUCGCUCCCCCUGCA